AUUAUUCUCCACUGAUUGUCAGUUUCGUUUAUGUGACCGUUACAAUGGGCAUGUUAUAUCCUAAAAAUGCCCGCUGCAGCGUUCACAACAACGGGCAUGACCAGAACAACCCAAAACCAU
rnacentral:precursor_RNA from 8 species